GGAUAAAAGAUCCCAACAUUAAUCAUCGGAAUCAUGUUUUAUUGAAUACUCCAACCAGAUAUUGAAUAUAUUUAUGAGCUAUCACCUUAAAAUUUAGGACAAACUAUGAUCCGAAAGAAAGACAUACACUCACCUAUGUUAAAGGACAGCAAUUCUCAAAUGCUCAGCAGCAGACAGAGAAUAUCAAAAUCCGUUACUAAAUUGGCCACAAAUUGUAUCACGAAAAACCACUCAAUACCUCAUUCUAUUUUGGUGCUCAUAGUUCCUAAAUAGUGUAUUCACAGAACAUGCUCUCUUUCCUUUGAGAGUUGAUCUCAGGAAGCUAGAAGUUUUUUGAUUCCUGCUUUCUGCUCUGAUGUUAGCCUUGUUGGGAACUUAAUGUUGAACUUGAUUCUCAGAUUUCCUCUCUUUGUUGGGUCUUUUUGGAUUGGCAUUCCUUCUCUUGGGAUGACUUCCUCAUAGGUUGGAUGAAUCACACUGUUGAUUGGAAUGGAUAAAUUCCUUCCAUCUAAGGUAGUGAGAUGGACGGUGUAACCUGUCAGUGCUUCAGCUAAUGAAAUUUUUUGUGUAAUAAUUAAGUCAUUUCCAUCACGAGUGAACACAGGGUGGGGUUUCUCAUCAAUUAUGAAGACAAGAUCAGCAGGUAUGACAUUCGGUUGUUCAUUCCCUUUCUCUGGGAAGGUGAUCUUUGUGCCCUUCUUCCAGCCAGGCUUUAUGUCAAUUGUUAGGAUUUCCUCCACCUGCAUGGUCUUGCUACACCCAAAAGAAAACGAGGGCAUUAAGCUGAGAUCCAAAACCAACAUCCAAGAACAGCUUAAAUUCAAGUUGGCUUAUAAAAUUAUACCAAAUCAAGUCAGCAUAACAAACUUGUAGCCAAGCACACUCAAAAGUUUUGAAGACUUUCAGAUUAGAAACCAUAACUAACGACAAACAAGUAAGCAUUGUACUUCCCCUAUCACUCAAAAACAGGCAGCCAUUAUUGUAGUAUCAAUAGCUUUUAAUUCUUUUACUGGACUGAAACAACCUAGAAUAAUGUUGAAAACAUGUCUAAUUGAAGCAUAGCCUGAAAGGGAAAAACUUGUGACAAAAAAUAUUGAACCAGAUUUGUAACAUCUAGCUUGGUCAUUAACAAUUUAUAACCUACUCUUUAUUGUAGUUUAUUCAGAAACAAACCAUUCUGAUAGCCCUGAAGACAGCGUGUGACUGCAGCAUUUAGAAGACGCAAGAAACAAUAAUUGGAAACUUCUUGAUCCCUAAACUAGAUCAUAAACGAUAUAUUGCAUCCUAAGAGAUGUAGAGUAACCAGUAACCACAUUCAUUUCUUUUCUUUAGAUACUUUAAUGCAAAUUUCUAUACUAAGAAUCCCAAUUUCUCAAUAAAAACAUCACAACAUUCAAUAUGGAUUAAUAAUGAGACUAUUUUCCAUGAAUACAGACAAGAGAUCAUAUUUAGCUACCAUUACCAUUUACAUAUUUUCUUUUUGAAAAAUGAUUCCAACAAUCCCUUGUAACAGAAAAGGCAAAUUCUUUAGCUAGCUACAUAUUAAGUUAAAUCCUAGAAACUAAUGGACAUUAUUUCUCCUGAUCAAGCAAUAACUAAGACCGCAUAUCUAAAGCUAAAAGAUACUCAAUUUCAUCAAACAGCAGACAGAAAAUCAACACAAAAAGGAACUAUGUAGCCCUUACCCACUCAUGUCAACAAUCUCUCGAGAAAUUUUCAUUUUUUUGGUAGUCCCCUUGUAGAGUUCCUCGAGACUACAAGGCAACCUAUUCUCAAUUGCAGAAGCUUUUCUAGGAACAUUUUGAUGCAUUGACCCCCCUCCUCCAUCACCAUAAGACCCAAAGAUAUCAUCACCAAAUAUUCCACUCGAGAACCUUGUUCCUCUCAUGCCUCCACCACCAACUCCCAUGCCACCAAAUGGUCUUGAAAACCCGAAGAACUCAGCAAAAAUAUCAUCAGCACUCCGAGGAUUGAAUUGGAAUGAUGUAGGAAUAUCUCCAGUGGAGAAGUAGGAAGUUCCACCAGCAUCAGGGGGUGGUACUGAGCCUUUUACACCCUCUUCACCAUAUUGGUCAUACACUGCUCUUUUCUGGGGAUCACUAAGAACCUCAUAGGCCUCAGAGAUUUGUUUAAACUUAGCUUCAGCCUCUCUCUUAUUAUUGGGAUUCUUAUCAGGAUGCCAUUUCAUGGCAAGCUUCCUAUAAGCCUUCUUCAAGUCAUCAUCUUUUGCAUUCCUAUCUACUUGUAAGAUCUUGUAGUAAUCUACCCCCAUCCUUUCUAUUCUUUCCUUUCCCUUCAAACAAACAAAAGCUUCGGUUCUCUGCUCGGUGACGGCGGGUUUCAAAGCUCUGCACUUGAUGAUGUUGGUGGUGGUGGUGGUGUAUUACUUGCGUGUGGUGCUCGUAUGGUUUUGCUCACCUGAUGAUCUGAGAAUCCUGUGGAAGUUUCCAGAAAUAACGACACUGUUUAUUUUUUGGCCUGCUAUGAUUACAUACGG
rnacentral:misc_RNA from 1 species